GUGUGUUUCAAUACUAAAGGCAGAGCGCAAAAAGAUUUUCUUUUGUUCGUCAAAAUUUUCGACAAAAAAAAUCAAAUUUACAAUUUGAAACUAAGAAAUGUUUUAAAUUUUGCUAGAAAUAAAAUUUUUAACCUAAUAUAUUUUAAUACGAUUUCGGACAGCAAAUUUUUGACCAUCUGUAGUCAAUCUUGUAUCGAAAGCAAAAACCGGAAGAUUGCUUAUAAUCAGCAACGAAAAUAGCAUAUUCAGUUCCUUUUAAUAAACAAUUUUUACCAACCAUUGUGUCUUAACACUAAAACAUUUUAAACAGUAAUAUAUCGGUCUGGCAAAAAAUGAAUUUGAAAAACUCCAAGUUCUUUAGGCGAAUUCAAGAGCUGCGUCGGCUCUCCAAAGAUAAAUUACGUAAAGAGAAAAAUCGUGGUGUCCACAUUGAUUAUGAAUUAGAAAAUGCCUUAAAAGAACGAAAUGGCGAUUGUGUGCGCUCGACGCAGCGACAAAGUUUUAAGGACAAUGGGAAUUUCGAACAGGAAAAAUAUGAAAGCUUAGAGAAUAAUGAGAAAAUAAAUGAUAUUUCAAAUGGCUUAAUACAACUAAAUAAUGUGUGUUUCCGCUUGAAAUGUGCCUGUGCAGCAAAACCAUCGCCAAUACGGGAUGAGAAACCUGUUUUACCUAGCAUUAAAGGUAGCAUAUGCGUAUCCAAUUCACGGUAUAGCAUGAUUGGUCGGGUAUCCAAGACAUUAGGUUUUAAAGUGGUUAAAGAAACUAAGCUUUGGAAUAUUUUGUGGACGGAUACAUUGCCAGGAGUAGAAUUGUACAAGAGCAUGAAACGUUUUCAACAGAUCAACCACUAUCCAGGAAUGAUGGAGAUUUGCCGCAAAGAUUUGCUCUCGCGCAAUUUGAAUCGUAUGUUAAAACUCUUUCCUCGUGAAUAUAAAAUAUUUCCAAAAACAUGGAUAUUUCCGGCUGAUUAUGGAGAUGCAAUAAACUAUGCGAAUAAUAACUAUAAAAACAAGCCUCGAACAUUUAUAAUAAAACCGGACUCGGGCGCUAUGGGUCGUGGAAUUUGGCUAACAAACGAUUUGAAAUCAAUAAAUCCUUCGGAACGAAUGAUAUGUCAGACAUAUAUAAAUAAGCCCCUAUUGAUUGAUGGCUACAAAUUCGACUUGCGCGUCUAUACACUAAUCACAUCCGUCGAUCCACUAAGAAUUUUUGUAUACAACGAAGGUUUGGCGCGCUUCGCCACGAGCAAAUACGUGGAGCCAACAAUCGAAAACAGUUGUGAUUUAUUCAUGCAUCUCACCAACUAUUCGGUGAACAAGCGUAGCUCUCAGUAUGAUCUGUGCGACAACGACGACUGCGGUAGUAAAAGAAAAUUUUGCGCUAUCAAUAACUGGCUGCGGUGUCGCAAUUAUGAAGUUGACGAGUUUUGGGGUAAAAUCGACGAUAUCAUCAUCAAGACAAUACUAAGCGCUUGGCCGAUGUUGAAACAUAAUUAUCAUGCAUGUUUCCCGUCACAUGAUAAGAUUCAGGCGUGCUUUGAAAUUCUCGGCUUUGAUAUAUUAGUUGAUUCAAAGAUGAAACCUUAUGUUCUCGAAGUUAAUCACUCUCCAAGCUAUCACACACAUGAAUUAGUCGAUAGGCAAGUGAAGAAGGCGCUGAUUAGGGACACACUUUUAAUGGUAAGUACACCACUAGCGGACAAAAAGCAAAUAUUACGUGAGGAUCGUAAACGAAUCAAGCAACGUUUGCUGAAAUUGAAACAAUGUGGCACGACAUCAAACACUCAACGGCAGCAUCCUAUUUACGGCGUUAUUCCGGAAAGUAAUAUCAAUGCACGAGAUAGUGAUGAACCACCGCCACUUGAGGAAGGAACCCAAGAAGCUGGUCUAAGCGCACUCUCACAGCAAAUUGCUUGGGAGGAGGGCCACUUGGGUGACUUUCGUCGUAUUAUGCCACCACGUGACCCUGAUCGCCUCAAUUAUUAUUGUCAGUUCUUUGCACUGCAAAAUCAAGCUUCAAUUUAUGGCGAGACAGCGGCAAGCAAGAAACGGGAGGAAGUUGCCAAAAAGAUGCGUCUUGAAAUCGAAGAAAAACGACAACGUCAAAUGGAAGUAAUGUUAGGUCAAAGAAGGCGUAUGAAGCUUGAAGAGCGCCGCCGCAAACGUGCUUCGAUGCCCCGUGCAAUAGUCGAACGUCAUCGAUUGUCCCGUUUUCGUGCUCAAGAGAACUGGGCACCUGGAUUUAUAUCGGAGGCGGAAGAACGCUUGAGACGUACUUGGAUGCAGAUGCGAACUGAGAUGCUACGCAAUAACAAAAUUGUACAGAUGAUCUAUAAAGACUUCUACAACGGUGGCAAUCUAACUAAUGCGGAUAUCAUCACUUACCCAGAAUUAUAUCGUUGCCUUGAACGCGGCGCAGAUGUUAUGAGCGAUAAUUAAGUUUUAGGAAAACAAUUAGGAUGAUAUUUCCUUCAGGUCCUUUCCUUCAAUUUUGAAUUUUUCCUUUCCUUUUUUUAAAAUACUUUGAAUAUGAGAAUAUCCGAUGUCACAACUAUUAUGAAAUGCAUUAUGGCCUGAUUUAAGAGAAAGGCAUACUGUUCCUUCAACAAAAACACAUCUUAUCUAAUACAAGUAUCUGAACGAAAAUUUAGUAAUUUUAUCACAUAAAAUAAUAAAACAAAUAAAAUACGAAAUGUA
rnacentral:misc_RNA from 1 species